CUGACAAUCACCCUGCCGAGGGAGGCAGGCCUGAGAAGCCGCGAGCUAGGACGCUUGCACCAUACACGGUGCACGGGGUCUACGGGACAGGGGCCGCGCACGUGGAGCAGCGGCAUGAAAGUACACAAAACACAAGCCACGAACGUGCCUGAGGUCGCAGGGAAGAGGGGAGAAAGGCAGAGAAAGAACCAGGCUCAGGAGCAGAGGCUGGAGGUCAGAGGUGGGCUUGGCUCUAAGCACCCCGAAGGCAAGCAAAGCCAAGGUCAGAUCUGGCACAGCAUUCCCGAGCCCCAAAAAGUUCCUUAGCCAACCGUCCGGGAGAAAUGAGACUUUACUGACACAAGACGAAGGCAAAAUUUCUCACACAGAUCCUCUCACGUGUCAGGCUCCUAAGUGUAAGUGAACAGCAUCCCAAAAGGAGGCUCAGGGACAGACUCCGUGUGUCUGUCCCCUCUCCCUCACUGGGAGCCACCGGCAGGAUUCUGAAGCAUGACUCACAGCCAGAAGUUACACAAACUUCAUCCUGUUUAUUUUGGCUCAUGCUUCCCGCCUCCAGAGGUCUCUCUGACCCUGGUGUGCGUUCAAGGAUUUGCUAAGCCCGUGAGCACGCGCUGUCUGCAUGUGUGAUAGGCGCCCACUCCCUCCUUCAGCCAAGUUACUGAAGUUAGAAACGGGAAAAUCACGGGUCGGCAAAGAAACACCGGUGCCGGGUGAGGAAAAGCCAAGGAGCCUGGGUCCAAGGCCUGGCCACCCAGCCACGGGCAUAGCCUCACAUGGGGACCCAGCAUCUCUGCCCGAGGGACAGCUAGGACCGGCACCCGCACCCGACAGGCAGGACCGGCUGCGGCCAGCUGCCACGCGGGGUCCCGGACACAAUGCCUCCACCUACACAGGGCUCGUGGACACAGGACAGGGCAGGCUGUGCUGACGCAGGCGCAUCCUUCCGGAAUGCCAGCGUGGCUGGACGCGUUUGCCCACGACAGCCUGGGACACAGCUCUCAGCCGUGUCAGUGUUGACAACCACGUUGCUUUCAAGACAGGAGCCAUCACAGGAGACCUGUGAGCCGUGGCUGAUGGGCUCUGCUCCUCCACGGCCUGCAUGAGGUGGCCCACGGCCAGCCACGCCCAGAGGAGUGCGCUCGCGGGCUCAGCCACCCUCGGGAGGGGCCAGCUCGCUGGCUCUGCCUUUCUUCCCACCCUACCGUGGACUGACGGUUCCGUAAAACAGUAAAAGACGGU